ensembl:snRNA RNU6-682P RNA, U6 small nuclear 682, pseudogene
GUGCUUGCUUCAGCAGCACAUAUACUAAAAUUGGAAAAAUACAGAGAGGAUUAGCAUGGCCCUGCACAAAGAUGACAUGCAAAUUCAUGGUGUUCAUUUAUUUAAU